UACGUAGGGGGCAAGCGUUGUCCGGAAUCAUUGGGCGUGAAGCGCGUGUAGGCGGUUCAGUAAGUCUGCUGUGAAAGUCCAGGGCUCAACCCUGGGAUGCCGGUGGAUACUGCUGGACUAGAGUGCGGAAGAGGCGAGUGGAAUUCCCGGUGUAGCGGUGAAAUGCGCAGAUAUCGGGAGGAACACCAAUUGCGAAGGCAGCUCGCUGGGACGUUACUGACGCUGAGACGCGAAAGCGUGGGGAGCAAACAGG
rnacentral:rRNA from 1 species